GAUGAACGCUGGCGGCGUGCCUAAUACAUGCGAGUCGAGCGAACGGACGAGAAGCUUGCUUCUCUGAUGUUAGCGGCGGACGGGUGAGUAACACGUGGAUAACCUACCUAUAAGACUGGGAUAACUUCGGGAAACCGUAGCUAAUACCGGAUAAUAUUUUGAACCGCAUGGUUCAAAAGUGAAAGACGGUCUUGCUGUCACUUAUAGAUGGAUCCGCGCUGCAUUAGCUAGUUGGUAAGGUAACGGCUUACCAAGGCAACGAUGCAUAGCCGACCUGAGAGGGGAACGGGCCAACCUGAAACUAGAACACGGACAAGACUACUACGGGAGGAAGAAGGAGGAAAUCUUCGGCAAGGGAGGAAGACAGAAGGAAGCAACGACGCGAAAGUGAGGAGGCCUUCGGAUCGUAAAACUCGGUUAUAAGGAAAGAACAGAUGUGUAAGUAACGGUGAACACGUGAACGUAACAAAUCAGAAAGCCACGGCUAACUACGUG
rnacentral:rRNA from 1 species